AGGACACCCCUAUUCCCUCCCACUUAUUCUGUACCCUUCCCCGACCCAAAGAGCUAGAGUCAGGACAAACGUCAUGUGCAGAGUAACUUAGAAUAAGCAACUACCAAAUGACGAAAACGCAGUAUGUACAACACACAAGAAUUACAUGCAUGACUGUUAUACCUUACAAAUGCCAAAUGUACUCUAUGCAGAAUGUACCAAUACCCUUACUCCCCCGUUGUUUUCUGUACCCCAACCCAAACAAAC